rnacentral:misc_RNA from 1 species
GAUGAAGAACGUAAGCGAAAUGCGAUACUUGGUGUGAAUUGCAGAAUCCCGUGAACCAUCGAGUCUUUGAACGCAAGUUGCGCCCGAAGCCAUUAGGCUAAGGGCACGUCUGCCUGGGCGUCACGCAUCGCGUCACCCCUCCACCAAUCCUGGUGGAUGGGAUGGAAUGUGACCUCCUGUGCCUAUGGGUGCAGCUGGUCGAAAUUUGAGUCCGGAGCUUAGGACGUCACGGCAAGUGGUGGUUGGAUAACAACUCGCGUGUUGUCGUGUGCCCAAACUCUUGUGACUGUAAAGACCCUGAGGCGCAUGUUGCCUCCCCUUUCGGGGCUGAUGACUUGUGCUACGACCGCGACCCCAGGUCAAGCGGGAUUACCCGCUGAAUUUAAGCAUAUCAAUAAGCGGAGGA